rnacentral:sRNA from 1 species
UUGUAACCUGCUACAUUUUGCAUUAGUUCGAUAAACAACAUAUUCUCAGCUGAUUUUAGUCCGAUAGAGAGAUUUAAAAAUUCUUAAAAAGGACGAUGUUACACAGAACAAUAUUCCCAAUAAUUUAUAAAUGGCAGCCAGUGGUGCAGCAAUAAUGUAAAUCCGGUUCGUUUUUUUCACUGUACCCACUGUAUCACGGCACGGGAAAUUUAGCCGCCUGCCUUUGAUUUUAGUCUUGAUCUAGAAAUCACUUCUUCAAUCUUCAAUCCGACAAAGUCUUGAACCGACCCCACCGCGUCUUCAAUCGACACCGUCUUAAAUCGGUCAAGUCCCGUAUCGCUAAGUCUCCCUAUUAUAAUCGCAUUGAUCUGGAAUUCGUUAUAAUAAAUAAAUAAAAAAUG